rnacentral:rRNA from 1 species
AGUGAACGCUGGCGGUAGGCCUAACACAUGCAAGUCGAACGGCAGCACAGUAAGAGCUUGCUAUUACGGGUGGCGAGUGGCGGACGGGUGAGGAAUACAUCGGAAUCUACUUUUUCGUGGGGGAUAACGAAGGGAAACUUACGCUAAUACCGCAUACGACCUACGGGUGAAAGCAGGAGAUCUUCGGACCUUGCGCGAUUUAAUGAUCCGAUGUCGGAUUAGUGAGUUGGCGGGGUAAAGGCCCACCAAGGCGACGAUCCGUAGCUGGGCUGAGAGGAUGAUCAGCCCCACUGGAAGUGAGCCACGGCCCAGAGUCAUAGGGGCGGCAGCAGUGGGGAAUAUUGGCAGCUGGGCGCAAGCCUGCUCCAGCCAUACCGCGCGGAUGCAGCAGGCCUGCGGGUUGUAAAGCCGUUUUGUUGGGAAAGACAAGCAGCGGGUUAAAACACCGCUGUUCGGCCGGGACCAAAAGAAUAAGCACCGGCCAAUUUCGU